GCACCGCAUGUUCCUGCUAGUUAUUGCACCAUCAAUGGUCUGUACACUGUGAUGAAUAUGUCAUAAACUGAGAAUCAUAUUAACUCAACCUUACUUCGUCGGGUUACAUGCCUUAUGCACCUACUAGCGUUAGGUGCUUCCUCGCUUUGACGUCCUUUGAAAAGAAUCCAUUCGAGGCUUGUCGACAAUUCUUCGUCGACCCAGGAGUUGCCACUCCAUUCUUAAGUACUCCAGAAUGGACAGAGGAGUUCCACUAGGACAUUCCCCCACCCUAGCACUUGGGGUCAUGAUAAAACGUUUAGACUCUUUUCUUUGAAAAACACUUUUCUUUAAAAACAUUUUCCCCAAAUGCAUGUGGCAUGGGACUUAAGACAUACUUAUACUUGACAUGUGACAUAUGCAAUGUCAUGCAUGGAAUAACCAAACAUAACAUGUUCAAUUCAUGGCAUGAUAACAUGAAACACAUGAAACAUCCAAACACAUUCAUGGAAUCAUAAGAACUUGCUUAGGCCGAAACACAUAGGGGUAAAAAUCCUGAAUUCAUCACUUAAACAUAUUCCAAUCUUCAGGCAAAUAACAUAGGGAUCAAAAAUACGAUCCACAGACGUAUCCGAAGUCUCAAAACGUACAAACUGACUUGCGCAUUCUUCCGCUGUGUGACUUGAUUAUGCUUCUGGAUCAAAAUUAUGCAGAUUUCCUCUUUCUGUUUCCUUCGAGCUACUCCACAAUUUUCGUUCCUCGUGUGGCAAUGCUCAUCGAAAGCAAAGCCUUCCUUGGCCGUCUGCAUCCAUCACAUGAGUGAGAUGAUGCUCAAACAUUUCCAUAUGUCUUCCUUGUUCCGCUAAGGCCUAUUGUUUUCUUCUAAGGCGCUCUCUGAUACAAUGCCUAACUAGGCGCUAGCAUAGAACUGACAAAGGGUGUUGGUCGAAAAAGAUAGCAGGACGGUGGUCGUGGAAGUCGAAUUCGCUAAGGAGUGUGUAACAACUCACCUACCGAAUCAACUAGUCCCGAGAAUGGAUGGCGCUGAAGCACAUGACCUAUACCCGGCAGUCGGAGCAAGUGCAAGGCACCGAUGUGUAGGCGGGCGUGGCGGUAACCGCAAAACCUGGGGUCCAAGCGUUCGUCAGUGCAGAUCUUGGUGGUAGUAGCAAAUAUUUAAAUGAGAACUUUGAAGGCCAAAGAGGGGAAAGGUUCCAUGUGAACGACACUUGCACAUGGGUAAGUCGAUCCUCAGAGACAGGGGAAGCCCGUCUGAUAGCGUCCUACACUCAUACUUUGAAAGGGAAUCGCGUUAAAAUUCCUGAAUUGGGAGGUGGCAGCUGACGGCAACGUUAGGGAGUCUGGAGACUUCGGCAGGGGCCUCGGGAAGAGUAAUAUUUUCUUUUUAACAGCCUGCCCACCCUAGAAAGGGUUUAGCUGGAGGUAGGGUCCUGCGGCUGGAAGAGCACCGCACUUCGCGUGGUGACUGGUGCACCCCCGACGGCCCUUGAAAAUUCAGCGGACUGAGUACCAUCCACUCCUUGACAUACUUAUAACUGCAUCAGGUAUCCAAGGUGAAUAGCCUCUGGUUGAUGGAACAAUGUAGGCAAGGGAAGUCGGCAAAAUGGAUUCGUAACCUCGGGAAAAGGAUUGGCUUUAAGGGUUGGGCACAAGGGCCCUAAUCCUGAUCCCAUCGACUGUCAAUGGACUACUCAAGCUACUUCAGGGGUGAGAGCAGGUUGCAGCGUGCCGGCCGAGGGAUGGAUUAAUGAGAUUACCGUUGUCCCUAUCUAUUAUCCAGCGAAACCACUACCAAGGGAACGGGCUUUCUCAAAAUCAGUGAGGAAAGAAGACCCUGUUGAGCUAGAAUGUAGUCCAACUUUGUGAAAUGAUUUGAGAGGCGUUGGAUAAGUGGGAGCCAAAAGGUGAAAGUGAAAUACCACUACUUUUAACGUUAUUUUACUUAUUCCAUGAAUCGGAGGCAGGGCAUUGCCCCUCUUUUUGGCCCAAGGCUCGUUUUGGCAAGUCGAUCCGGGUGGAAGACAUUGUUAGGUGGGGAGUUUGGCUAGGGCGGCACAUAUGUUAAAAGAUAAUCCAGGUGUCCUAAGAUGAGCUCAACGAGAACAGAAAAUCUCUUGUGGAACAAAAGGGUAAAAGCUCGUUUGAUUUUGAUUUCCAGUACGAAUAUGAACUGUGAAAGGGUGGCCUAUUGAUCAUUUGGACCUUCAGAAUUUGAAGCCAGAGGUGUCAAAAAGGUUACCACAGGGAUAACUGGCUUGUGGCAGCCAAGCUUUCAUAGCGACGUUGUUUUUUUAUCCUUCGAUAUCGGCUCUUCCUAUCAUUGUGAAGCAUAAUUCACCAAGUGUUGGAUUGUUUACCCACCAAUAGGGAAGCUAAGGUGGGUUUAGACCAUCGUGAGAUAGGUUAGUUUUACCUUACUGAUGACAGUGUCACAAUAGUAAUUCAACCUAGUAUGAGAGGAACUGUUGAUUCGCACAAUUGGUCAUUGGGCAUGGUUGAAAAGCCAGUGGCAUGAAGCUACUGUGCGCAAGAUUAUGACUGAACGCCUCUUUGUCAGAAUCUGGGCUAGAAGCGAUGCGUACAGCCUUCGCCCAAUUGUUGACCUGCACCUCCAGAGGCAUGUGUCGUUGGUGAAGCCCUAGCGGCGGAUAAGCCAUGUGGGUUGCCUUAAAGUACAAUUCUCAUUGAGCGGUGAAGAGAAUCUUUUGUAGACAACUUGAAUAUACGACGGGGUAUUGUAAGUGGCAGAGUGGCCUUGCUGCCAUGAUCCAUUGAGAUUUAGCCCUUUGCCACUUUGAUUCGU
rnacentral:rRNA from 1 species